rnacentral:rRNA from 1 species
AGCAGUGAGGGCUUGGGUGCUAAGGUCCAAGUCCGAGAGGGAAAGAACCCAGACUAACAGCUAAGGUCCCAAAAUCUAUUCUAAGUUGAACAAAGGAGGUUCAGUUGCAGAGACAGCCAGGAUGUUUGCUCGGAAGCAGCAAUUCAUUUAAAGAGUGCGUAACAGCUCACUGGUCGAGCGACAGAGCAUCGAUAAUAAACGGGCAUCAAGAAUAGUACCGAAGCUUUAGAUUUAUACUUUAGAAGUAUAAGUGGUAGGGGAGCAUUCUAAGGUCGGUGAAGACGGGACGCGAGUCCUGUUGGAGAGCUUAGAAAAGCAAAUGUAGGAAUAAGUAACGAUAAAGCAGGUGAGAAUCCUGCUCACCGAUAGACUAAGGUUUCCUGAUCAACGUUCGUCGGAUCAGGGUUAGUCGGGACCUAAGGCGAACCCAUCGUAGUGGUGGGGCAGUCGAUGGACAACUGGUUAAUAUUCCAGUACUAAUGUAUACUGCUAUGGAGAGACGGAGUAGUGACAAGUUCGCGUGGUGACGGAAUACCACGUUAAAGCCAGUAGAUAUAUUUUGAGUAGGCAAAUCCGCUCGAAAUGUCGAAGGUGAUAGUACAACAAAGCUUCGGCCGCGUUGAUAGUAACUGUAAUCAGACUUCCAAGAAAAUCUUCUAUGCUUCAGGUAUACAUGACCCGUACCGCAAACCGACACAGGUAGUCAAGGAGAGAAUCCUGAGGUGCGCGAGUGAUUCACGGCUAAGGAACUCGGCAAAUUAACCCUGUAACUUCGGGAGAAGGGGUGCUUCCUCUAGCGAUAGAGAAGCCGCAGUGAAAAGUCUCAGGCGACUGUUUAACAAAAACACAUGGCUCUGCGAAAUCGAAAGAUAAAGUAUAGGGCCUGACACCUGCCCGGUGCCGGAAGGUUAAGAGGGGGGCUUAGCAGCAAUGCGACGGUCUGAAUCGAAGCCCCGGUAAACGGCGGCCGUAACUAUAACGGUCCUAAGGUAGCGAAAUUCCUUGUCGGGUAAGUUCCGACCUGCACGAAUGGUGUAACGAUCUGAGAACUGUCUCAGCCGUGAGCUCGGUGAAAUUGUAGUAGCGGUGAAGAUGCCGCUUACCCGUCACGGGACGGAAAGACCCCGUGCACCUUUACUAUAGCUUUGCAUUGAUUUUGGGUAAAUGAUGUGUAGGAUAGGUGGGAGGCUUUGAAGCGGGUACGCUAGUAUUCGUGGAGCCAACGUUGAAAUACCACCCUUUAUUUACUUGGAGUCUAACCCCUGAAUAGGGAAACAGUGCAUGGUGGGUAGUUUGACUGGGGUGGUCGCCUCCAAAAAAGUAUCGGAGGCUUCUAAAGGUUCCCUCAGUACGCUUGGUAACCGUACGUAGAGUGCAAUGGCAUAAGGGAGCUUGACUGUGAGACAAACAAGUCGAUCAGGUACGAAAGUAGAGCAUAGUGAUCCGGUGGUUCCGCAUGGAAGGG